rnacentral:rRNA from 1 species
CUGUGAAAACUGGAGGCUCAACCUCCAGCCUGCAGUGGGUACGGGCAGACUAGAGUGCGGUAGGGGAGAUUGGAAUUCCUGGUGUAGCGGUGGAAUGCGCAGAUAUCAGGAGGAACACCGAUGGCGAAGGCAGAUCUCUGGGCCGUAACUGACGCUGAGGAGCGAAAGCAUGGGGAGCGAACAGGAUUAGAUACCCUGGUAGUCCAUGCCGUAAACGUUGGGAACUAGAUGUGGGGGCCAUUCCACGGUCUCCGUGUCGCAGCUAACGCAUUAAGUUCCCCGCCUGGGGAGUACGGCCGCAAGGCUAAAACUCAAAGGAAUUGACGGGGGCCCGCACAAGCGGCGGAGCAUGCGGAUUAAUUCGAUGCAACGCGAAGAACCUUACCAAGGCUUGACAUAUACGAGAACGGGCCAGAGAUGGUCAACUCUUUGGACACUCGUAAACAGGUGGUGCAUGGUUGUCGUCAGCUCGUGUCGUGAGAUGUUGGGUUAAGUCCCGCAACGAGCGCAACCCUCGUUCUAUGUUGCCAGCACGUUAUGGUGGGAACUCAUAGGAGACUGCCGGGGUCAACUCGGAGGAAGGUGGGGAUGACGUCAAAUCAUCAUGCCCCUUAUGUCUUGGGCUUCACGCAUGCUACAAUGGCCGGUACAAAGGGCUGCAAUACCGUAAGGUGGAGCGAAUCCCAAAAAGCCGGUCUCAGUUCGGAUUGAGGUCUGCAACUCGACCUCAUGAAGUCGGAGUCGCUAGUAAUCGCAGAUCAGCAACGCUGCGGUGAAUACGUUCCCGGGCCUUGUACACACCGCCCGUCAAGUCAUGAAAGUCGGUAACACCCAACGCCAGUGGCCUAACCUUCGGGAGGGA